UACGGAGGGUGCGAGCGUUAUCCGGAUUCACUGGGUUUAAAGGGUGCGUAGGAGGGCAGGUAAGUCAGUGGUGAAAUCUCCGAGCUUAACUUGGAAACUGCCGUUGAUACUAUCUGUCUUGAAUACCGUGGAGAUGAGCGGAAUAUGUCAUGUAGCGGUGAAAUGCUUAGAUAUGACAUAGAACACCAAUUGCGAAGGCAGCUCGUUACACGAAUAUUGACUCUGAGGCACGAAAGCGUGGGGAGCAAACAGG
rnacentral:rRNA from 1 species